GAUGAACGCUAGCUACAGGCUUAACACAUGCAAGUCGCGGGGCAACAUGGGGGUUGCUUGCAAUCCCCGAUGGCGGCCGGCGCACGAGAGAGUAACGCGUAUCCAACCUGCCCUUCACCACGCGAUAACCCGGCGAAAGUCGGACUAGUACCGUAUGUGAUCCAUUGACGGCUUCCGACUUGGACGGGAGGGUUGGCGCGGUGGGAUGGGGAUGGGUCCGUUUGGUUGAAGGGCGGGGGGACGACCGUCCGUGGCGGCGAUCGGUAGGGGAUCUGAGAGGAAGGCCCCCUACACUGGAACCGAGACCCGGUCCAGACUCCUACGGGAGGGAGCAGUGAGGAAGAUUGGUCAAUGGGCGUAAGCCCGAACCAGCCAAGUAGCGUGCAGGAGGACGGCGCUAUGGGUUGUAAACUGCUUUUAUGGGGGGAGAAAGUGCCCCACGUGUGGGUUUUUGAAGGUACCGCAUGAAUAAGCACCGGCUAACUACGUG
rnacentral:rRNA from 1 species